GACGAAAGAUCGAUAAGGUUUUUGUUCUUGUACUGCUGGKGUUGUUUWAUUCAAGAUAUGAUUCGUAAUGAUACGGAAGAGRAGAAAGUAAGAAGCCGGGUCUAAUUAAACAGACUAGGUUGAACUUAGUCCUAUAGCUCAGUUGGUUAGAGCGCUACACUGAUAAUGUAGAGGUCGGCAGUUCAACUCUGCCUGGGACUACGAACGGAAUCAAGUUCGGGGGAUUAGCUCAGCUGGCUAGAGCAUCUGCCUUGCACGCAGAGGGUCAACGGUUCGAAUCCGUUAUUCUCCACUCCAUCGGAAACGUAAGAAACGAAGAUGAACGAUCUAUGACAUAUUGUACAAGCAAACAGUAAUUUUAGUAGUAAAGAGCUGAAAGUAUAUAUCAUCCCGCUGGCACGCAAGUGUGGGCGAAUGAAUA
rnacentral:tRNA from 1 species